UAGGGAAUCUUCGGCAAUGGACGGAAGUCUGACCGAGCAACGCCGCGUGAGUGAAGAAGGUUUUCGGAUCGUAAAGCUCUGUUGUAAGAGAAGAACGAGUGUGAGAGUGGAAAGUUCACACUGUGACGGUAUCUUACCAGAAAGGGACGGCUAACUACGUGCCAGCAGCCGCGGUAAUACGUAGGUCCCGAGCGUUGUCCGGAUUUAUUGGGCGUAAAGCGAGCGCAGGCGGUUAGAUAAGUCUGAAGUUAAAGGCUGUGGCUUAACCAUAGUAGGCUUUGGAAACUGUUUAACUUGAGUGCAAGAGGGGAGAGUGGAAUUCCAUGUGUAGCGGUGAAAUGCGUAGAUAUAUGGAGGAACACCGGUGGCGAAAGCGGCUCUCUGGCUUGUAACUGACGCUGAGGCUCGAAAGCGUGGGGAGCAAACAGGACUAGAUACCCUGGUAGUCCACGCUGUAAACGAUGAGUGCUAGGUGUUAGACCCUUUCCGGGGUUUAGUGCCGUAGCUAACGCAUUAAGCACUCCGCCUGGGGAGUACGACCGCAAGGUUG
rnacentral:rRNA from 1 species